GUCUAUGACCAUACCACCCUGAACACUUCCAAUCUUGUCUGAGCUCAGAAACUAGGCAGGGUUGGGCUUGUUUAGUAUUUUGAUGGGGGAAAAGGAAAAUGACAUACUCA
rnacentral:rRNA from 1 species